rnacentral:rRNA from 1 species
GGCGGCGUGCCUAACACAUGCAAGUCGAACGGAGUGUUUAUUUAUAAACACUUAGUGGCGAACGGGUGAGUAACGCGUAGACAACCUACCCUCUAGAUGGGGACAACACCGCGAAAGUGGUGCUAAUACCGAAUGUUGUAAUGUUAUUGCAUAAUGAUAUUACUAAAAGGUGGCCUCUAUAUAAAAGCUACCGCUAGAAGAUGGGUCUGCGUCUGAUUAGCUAGUUGGUGAGAUAACAGCUCACCAAGGCAAUGAUCAGUAGCCGGUCUGAGAGGAUGAACGGCCACACUGGGACUGAGACACGGCCCAGACUCCUACGAGAGGCAGCAGUGGGGAAUCUUCCGCAAUGGACGAAAGUCUGACGGAGCAACGCCGCGUGAGUGAAGAAGGUUUUCGGAUCGUAAAGCUCUGUCUUCAAGGACGAAUGUAGAUAUUGUGAAUAAUGAUAUUUAAUGACGGUACUUGAGGAGGAAGCCACGGCUAACUACGUG